AUGAACGCUGGCGGCGUGCUUAACACAUGCAAGUCGAACGGAAAGGCUCCUGCUUGCAGGGGUACUCGAGUGGCGAACGGGUGAGUAACACGUGGGUGAUCUGCCCUGCACUUCGGGAUAAGCCUGGGAAACUGGGUCUAAUACCGGAUAGGACCACAUUUUGGAUGGUGUGGUGGAAAGUUUUUCGGUGUGGGAUGAGCUCGCGGCCUAUCAGCUUGUUGGUGGGGUAAUGGCCUACCAAGGCGUCGACGGGUAGCCGGCCUCAGAGGGUGUACGGCCACAUUGGGACUGAGAUACGGCCCAGACUCCUACGGGAGGCAGCAGUGGGGAAUAUUGCACAAUGGGCGCAAGCCUGAUGCAGCGACGCCGCGUGGGGGAUGACGGCCUUCGGGUUGUAAACUCCUUUCGCUAGGGACGAAGCGCAAGUGACGGUACCUGGAGAAGAAGCACCGGCUAACUACGUG
rnacentral:rRNA from 1 species